UCCCUGGUAGUAUAUCGGUUAGUACACGCGCCUGUCAUUACAUCUGAGCCUGAUGAACGCGCGAAAGCUGGGUUCGACUCCCAGCCAGGGAG